rnacentral:rRNA from 1 species
GACGAACCGUACGAACGUUAUUCGGAAUCACUGGGCUUAAAGGGUGCGUAGGCGGCGCGACAAGUUGGGUGUGAAAUCCCUCGGCUCAACCGAGGAACUGCGCCCAAAACUGUCGUGCUCGAGGGAGACAGAGGUGAGCGGAACUUAGGGUGGAGCGGUGAAAUGCGUUGAUAUCCUAAGGAACACCGGUGGCGAAAGCGGCUCACUGGGUCCCUUCUGACGCUGAGGCACGAAAGCUAGGGUAGCGAACGGG